UACGUAGGGUGCGAGCGUUGUCCGGAAUUAUUGGGCGUAAAGGGCUCGUAGGCGGUCUGUCGCGUCGGGAGUGAAAACUCAGGGCUUAACCCUGAGCCUGCUUCCGAUACGGGCAGACUAGAGGUAUGCAGGGGAGAACGGAAUUCCUGGUGUAGCGGUGGAAUGCGCAGAUAUCAGGAGGAACACCAAUGGCGAAGGCAGCUCGCUGGGACGGUACUGACGCUGAGACGCGAAAGCGUGGGGAGCAAACAGG
rnacentral:rRNA from 2 species